GGACAUUCAUUAGCUUGUAGCAUUCAUUUUCCUUCAGUGAUAUGCUAUAUAUUGACUUAUAAUGGUAAUAAUGUCUCACAGGAAUCCUUCGAGUGAUGCACAGCACCCCAAGUAAUUAUGACGUUCUUUUCUCUCCCGUUUCCAUAACUAGAUAAUGGGUGACCCCAAUGUCUUGAAUGAUGAUUAAGCUGGUGUGUAUGUGUGGAGCUGACAGUGCCAGGCUGUGGUGGUGGCGGCGGCAGGAGGGUGAGAGACUCCACGCAGGCUCGGCACUCCUCUCCACACAGUUCUUAUUGUCCUCUGGAAAAUCCAGUGUACAGUUACUGAUGAAAAGGUGAAAAUAUAUACAUCUAUAUAGUGAUGCUAUCAGGUGUGUGUUUCAUCAUCAUUUAUUCACACAUUCUCCCUGUUUCUUGUGAUACAUCAUUAAAUUGAAUUACAUACGACAUCAUUCUUUGAUAUGCUGACAUUUUUAGUCAUUCAUAUAUUUUACUAAAGGAAAAUGCUCGCCAUCUUAAAAAGAUGGACUUUGUAACAGUUCAUAGAACAAACCUCUUUCCCUUGCUUUGUUUAUAUAUGUAUUUUGACUAUUUAUUUAUUUAUUAAUUUUCCUAGAGAAUUGAAAAAAUGAAACUUGUGGGAACUUUUUGAAAUGAUUAGAAAUCUGAUAUUGUUUGCCAUAUACUGAAAGUCAAGAAUUGAUUUUCUUUUCUUUGACAAGAGGGAGAACAACCAAAUUCAUAGAUGCCAACGUUUUACAGUUUUAUCAGGUUUCGUCAUGUGUGGUCACCAUCUACACACAGGCAUUGUGGCAUGCUGGGUGUGAAGAGGUUUGGUGCUGCUGGGCAUUGCUUGAGUGGAGUGAGGAUGAAAGCUGGUAACACUUGAGGUACAGGUCAUGUUGGAGGUGCUGUCGUGUGCCCAGCCAAAUGGAUCUCGGAUAUUGAAAUUUUGCUGCUGGUAGGAAAGGAAGAUCCUUCUGGGAAUGGAUAUAGAUCUAGUGAGAAACAAAUUGUGUAUAGAAGGAAGAAAUAUAUGUUGUUGUCUUUCUUUUAUUAAUCUACAUCCUGUUUCUUCUACUUGGUUAUUUCUUUGGUUGGAUAUACUUGCAGUCUGGUCUUUAUUUUUUACAGAUUAAAUGCAGUAAAUUAAUGUGAAGUUGUGAUCGCAUGACUAUGCCAUUUAAGAUCAUAAGGAGGGUACCCAUGCAAUAUAUUGCAUUUUGAAGCUUUUUUUUGUCUGUAUAUAUUCUAAAUUUGUCUUAAAACACCAUUAAUGUGGUGAGAUUUGCGCCUUUAACAUUUACUACAGAUUUUUUUUUUUAAUAUCAUUAAAGAGAAUACUGUUUUCAUUGAAAACUUAACAUAUUUUUAUAUAAUGGAGUCUUGGUAUAUAGUCUUGGUUGAUAAUAGAAAUGUUGAAUAUUCGAUUUCAAGUUGAUUAGAUAACUUGCAGUUUACAAUCUCUAAUUUCAAGAUGGUUUGGUUGUAAGUUACAGCGAGUAUUGGUGUUGAUUUUCUUUUUGAAUUGCCAUAUAUUACGACCUAAUUUCAGAAAGUGUUUUCUUUAAUACAUUUUUUUAUAUUCCUUCAAUAGCUUGAGUAAAGGCUCAGUACAAGAAACACUAGAAAAAUGACAAAAGGCAUGUAGCAUUCUAUGUACUGAGAUAGUACAUUCACUUUUCAUUUCCCAUCUGAAUACGUUAAACCAUGGUGAAUGAUUUUCCAGUUAAUGGAUUACUUGUUUUAAAGGAGAUUUGUAAUGCAGUUCAGAUAUUUAUCAUAUUCUGAACUCUCCAAAUACCAUCAAGAAUAAUUUGUUGAUUAGAAAUUAUGUAUUUAUAGAUUUCUGCAAUAUUGAUGGGUGAAUGUUAUGAAAACCUCUAAUACAUGUUUAACCACAUAACAUACCAAGAAUAGAACAUGCAUAAUAACAUGCCAUUUACUCAAAAUAUACUAGCAUAAACAUGAACUUUUAACCUUAUUUUGGGGGAAACUUUAUGAAAUAUAUAUGGGAUACUGUCGGUGAUCUUCAAUCUAUAUUGUUCAACGAAAAUGCAGUAGCCUGAAGUUUGGAGUUAAACUGGUAAGUAGUUUUUUUCACUCACUCAGCUACAAGAAGUUUUAUCAUAGAGUAAAUAUUUCACAUUCAGUAUUUUGUGGGUGGAGGGAAAUAAGAAUGUGACUCAAGGUUUGGUGAAGGAAAUUAACUUAAAAGUUUAAGGGAAAUUUCAGCGUUUUUAGUGUGGAAACGCUGCAGACAUCCAUUUAACAACUACAUGGACAUGCACCGACACUGUUUCACAAUCAUUCACACAAACUCACGAUUUCCCUCGUCAUUUUUCUCCUAAUUUAUUUUUGUAAUUUUUAUAAAGGAUUUAGAAAUAUCCAUUAUUUUAAAUUCACUUCCACCUCCAUUUGGUCUUCAACAUCGAGACAUUCAUAUGGUAAAUGUUUUAGAAAAUAAUCAGUACAGAGCAGUUCAUCUUUUUCUGUUAUAAUUUGUAACACGGACACACGUUAACAAUCUCCCUCACUUAACUCAUGAAAUCAGCACGUAAACAUCACGCAUCGAGUUGUUAGCACCCUCUCUAAGAAGGGCACAUGCUUUGAUCAUCCUUAGGCAAAGGAGUAUGUUGAUGAGCACAUUGUUUAUCUACUGAGGUGCUUAAGGAAUAUGAUGUAUCAAAUGUUGAUUUUUUUGGUUAAAUAUAUAUUUUAUAUUGAA
rnacentral:lncRNA from 1 species